rnacentral:piRNA from 1 species
UGAGUAACAAUAGGAAACACGAUGGGUAGU